rnacentral:rRNA from 1 species
AUCGAACGCUGGCGGCAGGCCUAACACAUGCAAGUCGAGCGAGCGGCGGACGGGUGCGUACUGUCUGGGAACCUGCCUGUUGGCGGGGGAUAACUACUGGAAACGGUUGCUAAUACCGCAUACCAUCAGAUGUGCCCAGUUGGGAUUAGCUAGUAGGUGGGGUAACGGCUCACCUAGGCGACGAUCCCUAGCUGGUCUGAGAGGAUGACCAUCGACACUGGAACUGAGACACGGUCCAGACUCCUACGGGAGGCAGCAGUGGGGAAUAUUGCACAAUGGGCGAAAGUCUGAUCCAGCAACGCCGCGUGAGUGAAGAAGGCCUUCGGAUUGUAAAGCACUUUUAGCGGGGAAGCGUUACCCACAGAGGAAGCACCGGCUAACUACGUGCCAGCAGCCGCGGUAAUAC